rnacentral:lncRNA from 1 species
AUCCUUUCAAUUUCAUCUUUCACAAACAGCACAGUUUCAUUUCUUGUGGAAGGCGAAUAUGGUCUUUAACCAAAUUCAAUAGCACAUUUUAUUCCUGUCAUUGUUUACCAUGUUUAAAGUUUAAUCAAAUCUGUACUUCAGGAGUAUUGCUAAUAUUCUACACAGAAAAUCUCAUACUGAUAUUUGUUAGGGUUAGGCAGUUGAUAAAUGGCACCCCCUCUUCUGUUUCUGAUUUAUAAUCUAUUGAAAAGCCUGACACAGAAGUUUAAAGAUAAAAUGUUAUCUUAUUAGUGAGAAUGUUGCUUUCAGUUUAUUCCUUGACCUGUGGUGAACUGGGUUUCCUAAUUCAUUCCGUAUGUCUCCAGUUCAAAUUUAUAUGACCACUCACAGGCUAUGCUUUUAUCUGGUUUACAGUGCUUUCUCCCUUUGUACAAGGACUUCCUAUUUUCCCUUCACUGACAGAAAUUGCCUCUGCAUCUAGUUUUCCUUCUAGGUGUUGUCCUUCUUUGUUCUAGAAUACAAAAACAAAGACUGAAAAACCUCUCCAAAACAGACAAACAAACAAACUGUGGGAAAAGAAACAAUUACCAAGAAAGAUAAACAUGCUAAGAGGAAUUUUAAAAAAUGUACACAAAUGCAAAGGCAUUUGGUUAUAAUGCACCCAGUCCCUCCUCCCUGUCUGCUACCUUGUAACCCCAGAGCAGAUAUAUCUACUCUGAAAUGAUUACUUUCAUCCUCUUAGGCUUGGCCUUGGCUUGGGAGGAAGAACAGAAGUCAUAUGCCAUGAAGUCUUCCGUGGGUUGGUUGCAGUGCAACACCCUGAAUUACAGGCUAAAUGUCUACAGUAGUCAGAGGCUUGCUGAGAGCCGACAUGAUGUUCCCAUGAGCAGGAUGAAUCACUACAAUCCUGAUGGAAAUAGGUUUUCGAGGAGGUCUGAUUACUUUGGGAUCAAACUCAGGACCUUGCACUUGAGAGGCAGGUGGCAGAACCACUGAGCUAAAUCCCUGGCCCAGGAAAAAGGUUUGAAACCUGUGACAUUUUUGUCUUCACUGGCCAUCUCGCUGAUUUUCACCAGGACAGACUGACACACUUGGAGAAGCUUAAUCCACACACCAUAGUCCCCACUGAUUUUAUGGAAACCAAUUCUGUUCCUUCAGAAGAUACAUGAGCUGUCGGCACAUGCCAGAGGUCACAGUGCUGUCUUGCUGACCAAAGGGACUCACAACUGGAUAAAAUGUCAUGUUUGCAUGCCUGUAGGUAGGCACAUCUCACCUGUUUUUUACAGUCUUCCAAUCCUUUGUUCUACCUUUUCCCCACACAGUGUCCUACUGCAUGAACCCUGAGGCUGUUUAGAUUUGUGAACUGUAACUUAAAUAUUGCCUUAAAACCUGUAUGAUAGAUAUGAACUUCCUGUUAUAUAAUCUCAUCCCCGACUGUAAAGAUGGCCAAAAUUAAUUUUCUUUCAAAUUUCAUUCUAGGGGCUGGGGAUUUAGCUCAAUGGUGCUGUGCCUGCCUUGCAAGCACAAGGUCCUGAGUUUGAUCCUUGGUACCAAAAAAAAAAUAAAUAAAUAAAAAAUAAAAUAAAAUAAAAUUUCAUUCUAGUUUAAUAUGAAGUAACAGGUGGGAAGUUAGUAACUCAUGAGUUUACAUUUCUGGGAUGGUUUUUACCUUCUAAAUGCUCCCCCCUUCUCACUCUGAUAACA